rnacentral:lncRNA from 1 species
UUUUUUAUAUCAAUGUAUAUAUUUUGGAUAUAUAUCUGUAAUUUUGUUUGUUUUCAAGCAAUUCUUGUAGCUCAGUUUAAUGGAACACCAUUGAGUAAGUGAGAUAACUUCAGUUCAACUCUCUACAAGAGCAAUCCUUUAUGCAAUUAUUUUAGUGCUAUAUUUUUCACCAUUUUAAAGCGUAGCUAUGGGUAAUAUGGAAACCUUAACUACUGUGGCUUUUGGUAGCCAUUAAUAUCAAAUGUAACAUAAAUAUAUAUGUUCA